rnacentral:pre_miRNA from 1 species
GGGGGGAGGCUGGGUCCUGGGCUGUGUCCCGCGCCCUGUGCUCCGGACCUGCACUGUUGAAUUCGCGCUCCCCGUGGUGCAGCCCCCU